rnacentral:rRNA from 1 species
AUUGAACGCUGGCGGCAUGCCUUACACAUGCAAGUCGAACGGCAGCACGGGGCAACCUGGUGGCGAGUGGCGAACGGGUGAGUAAUGCAUCGGAACGUACCUUUCAGUGGGGGAUAACGUAGCGAAAGUUACGCUAAUACCGCAUAUUCUGUGAGCAGGAAAGCAGGGGAUCGAAAGACCUUGAGCUGAUUGAGCGGCCGAUUUCAGAUUAGCUAGUUGGUGAGGUAAAGGCUCACCAAGGCGACGAUCUGUAGCGGGGCGGAGAGGAUGAUCCGCCACACGUGACCGCGGACACGGUCCGGAUUCCUACGGGAGGCAGCAGUGGGGAAUUUUGGACAAUGGGGGCAACCCUGAUCCAGCCAUGCCGCGUGAGUGAAGAAGGCCUUCGGGUUGUAAAGCUCUUUCGGCCGGGAAGAAAUCGCACGGGCUAAGACCCUGUGUGGAUGACGGUACCGGAAUAAGAAGCACCGGCUAACUACGUGCCAGCCGCCGCAGUAAGAC